rnacentral:lncRNA from 1 species
CCAAUCUGCUAAUCUCCGAUACCCCUUUAUACUCGCGACCUUGUAUCCACUGACUGUCUUAUUAGAUUAACCCAAAAAUUUUUAUUCACUCUGCAUACUCAAUCCUAUAGACACCCUUUUAAUUACUCAUCACAGACAUAACUCGAUUUCACAAAACAGUCAAGAGAAAUCACACCCACUUCAUUAAAAUCCCGAUUCACCAGUACAACACUGACUUCAGCAACGAUUGCCUAUGUCUUCCCAAAACCCUAUGAAGAAAAAAAACCUCAAUUCUCUGUCUUUUUUUCCCUCUCGAAGCAUGAAGCUAGCUCUCCAACCCUUCUAAAAAACUUAUUCUCCCCCCUUUCAUUUCUUAACCUAUCC